ACAGAGUCUGCAAAACGCCGAUACCGACACUACUAAAAUUCGGCCAAUUUACGACCGUUUAUUCACGAUAGUCAACAAAACGGACGCAAUAUUUUAUUUAUUGAGACUGUUAAUUUACCGGUCGUGGACUUUAGGAAUUGUGACCGUUUAAUAACAUUCUGCGGCUGUGCUAGCAGCCGUAAAUAAAAUUUAAUUUAAAAAAGAAUAAUGUUUACAAUCGUCUUACCGAUCGCAGAUACAUACGCAGAUUUGGUCGAGAGUUUUUGAAAAUUGAAUAAAAAUUAAAGGAAGCUGCGUUUCAUUUUGUUAGAGAAAGGAAAGGGGGGAAAACGAAGAAGACAAAAGAAGGCGAAUAGCGGUCACACAUCCAAGAUCUCCUCCCACCGACGCGGCUUCCUCCGGCCGGCGACGCUUCUCGUCGGACCACCGUCGCCGGUAUUCCAUGUUGCCCGUUACUCCUCCUUUUUUCGUCGCCACCACGCAGACCACGACGCCGGCCAUCCGUACUGCCCGAGCCUGCUCCUUUUUCCGUCGCCGCCACCCAGGUAUGUCUUCUUUUAAUUUCUUUAAGUUCUCUACAAACCCUAACUUCCAUUUGAAUACUUGUAUAAUUUUGUGUUUUGGGUUAUGUUCAUUGCUGUGUUAUAAAAAUAUGGAUUUAGAUCCUUAGAUAUUAUGUUUUGAUUUUUGAAAAUCAGGAAUUCUUUGAGCUAAAACUGUUGUCUGUUUCAUUUUGUUAUCACUUGUAGUCGAUGGUUAUUCAAACUGUAAAUGCAUAGAUUAUUGAUGCCUGGUGCAUGCACAAAGUGAAUACAUGAUUUCAAAAUCAUUAAUUCAACUACUUGCAUUGAAGAGUUAAUCCUUGCAUAUCUUCACGUGGCUUGGCUUUUUUGUGUGUGUGUGUGAUGGUAGGAAUGUGAAAAGUUCCCUUGGAUAUAUGUUACAUAAUUUUUUUUUAAUUAUAAGCUUUAUGAUUUUCAUUUAUUAACAUUGUGUAAUUGUUUAAGUGAAAUUCUUAAUUGUUACUUAAGAAUGAUUAAUAGAUUUGUUUUAGCUUUUCGAAACUAAUUACAUGAUAAUAACCCUUGAUUAAAAUG